rnacentral:rRNA from 1 species
UGGGGAAUAUUGCACAAUGGGCGCAAGCCUGAUGCAGCCAUGCCGCGUGUGUGAAGAAGGCCUUCGGGUUGUAAAGCACUUUCAGCGAGGAGGAAGGUGGUGAGCUUAAUACGCUCAUCAAUUGACGUUACUCGCAGAAGAAGCACCGGCUAACUCCGUGCCAGCAGCCGCGGUAAUACGGAGGGUGCAAGCGUUAAUCGGAAUUACUGGGCGUAAAGCGCACGCAGGCGGUUUGUUAAGUCAGAUGUGAAAUCCCCGGGCUCAACCUGGGAACUGCAUUUGAAACUGGCAAGCUAGAGUCUCGUAGAGGGGGUAGAAUUCCAGGUGUAGCGGUGAAAUGCGUAGAGAUCUGGAGGAAUACCGGUGGCGAAGGCGGCCCCCUGGACGAAGACUGACGCUCAGGUGCGAAAGCGUGGGGCAGCAAACAGGAUUAGAUACCCUGGUAGUCCACGCUGUAAACGAUGUCGAUUUUGGAGGUUGUGCCCUUGAGGCGUGGCUUCCGGAGCUAACGCGUU